UUAAGUUCAGCGGGUAGUCCUACCUGAUUUGAGGCCAGAGUUAUGAAUUAGUGGGUUGAGUGUUGCCACUCGCGCCGGGUUAAGAAGCAGACUUCCUCUAGGUACCAAGUCGAGCUUCCACCAAUGCAAUUUUAUUACAUCAAAUGGAAGUACUCUGCUUAGAGAUUAGAGAGGUCCAGCUAAUAUCUUUAAGGCCAGCA
rnacentral:misc_RNA from 1 species